GGUUCGGUGGUGUAGUUGGUUAUCACGCUUGCCUCACAUCCAAAAGAUGUUAGGUCGCAAGAGGUCUCCAGUUCGAACCCGGGCCGAAUCA
rnacentral:tRNA from 1 species